AGAAACUUCCUCUGGGGUUGGAAUGGGGGUAGAAGACCCUCGAGGGAUGGGAGCGGGUGGGCAGUUUGCAAGUCUGAGAAAUACAAAUCUUUGAGGGGACUAAAUGAAAACCAUGCUAUGAAGCUAUAAACCCACUACUGAAUCUGUGGCCUCGGGUCAGAAUCCCCGCAGGAGCGCCAUUUCCUCGGAGCCUGUGCUUGUUAACAUUUCUGUAAGGAGCAGCCCAGCUAAGUCAGCUCUGAGCAGGACUCUGUGAGGCCACAUCAAAAAUGACAACAGGCGGCCGGGUGUGAUGAUGGAGCAGUGGGAGGUUCACCCCGGGUGAGGAUUCGGCCACUGGCACACCCCAGGAAAGUAGCAAGGACAAAUGUAAAUGUCCUGUCUCAUUGAAAAUCACUUUGGACUACACAAAGCCUAUUCUUUCUUACUUGAAAAGCUACAGCUCUUUGCAUUCAUAUGUGUAAGAGAUUUUUUUCUGAAGGACCACAGAAUAACCCACUGGCAAUUGUGUUGUGUUUUUUCUGUACUGAUUAGAUGAUGCAGCUUAGUUCCAUCUCCCAACCCCCAUCCCUGGUAGCAUACCAUCUUUCGUCCUUGGUUUCAUAACUGCCUUUCAUAGCUAUGGAAAAAGAACAGAAACGACGUCCAGAGUGUUCUACAGAUAUCACUAUGGCUCUAAAACAGUGUUGGUAACGGAUACCGAGGCAACAUGCUGCAAGAGGAGUUCUUCUGGCUUCUGGCUCUUGUGGUGUGGGAAGGGUGGCUGCGAGAACCUGCCAUCUGGCUUUCUCCUCAACAGAAAGAACUCGGAGCUCAAGAUGGAAGCAGACGCUUUAACACCUCUUACAGCAAGUUCUACAUGCCAGGGAACUCAAAUAUGAACAACAAAUGUAUGGUUUGAAUACAUGUGAACAAUGAA